AGAGUUUGAUCCUGGCUCAGAACGAACGCUGGCGGCGUGGAUAAGACAUGCAAGUCGAGCGAGAUUUUUUUCUGUAGCAAUACAGGGAAAAGUCUAGCGGCGAACGGGUGCGUAACACGUGGGCAACCUGCCAAGAAGUGGGGGAUAGCUCGCCGAAAGGCGAAUUAAUACCGCAUGUGAUCAGAGUGGACAUCCAUUCAAAAUCAAAGUCGGGGCAACCUGACGCUUCUUGAGGGGCCCGCGGCCUAUCAGCUAGUUGGUGAGGUAACGGCCCACCAAGGCUUUGACGGGUAGCUGGUCUGAGAGGACGACCAGCCACACUGGGACUGAGACACGGCCCAGACACCUACGGGUGGCAGCAGUCGAGAAUUUUUCUCAAUGGGGGAAACCCUGAAGGAGCGACGCCGCGUGGAGGAUGAAGGUCUUCGGAUUGUAAACUCCUGUCAUUGGGGAACAAUGCGUAAAUAUUAACUGUAUUUGCGUUGAUAGUACCCGAAGAGGAAGAGACGGCUAACUCUGUGCCAGCAGCCGCGGUAAUACAGAGGUCUCAAGCGUUGUUCGGAUUCAUUGGGCGUAAAGGGUGCGUAGGCGGCGCGGUAAGUCGGGUGUGAAAUCUCGGGGCUUAACUCCGAAACUGCAUUCGAUACUGCCGUGCUUGAGGACUGGAGAGGAGACUGGAAUUUACGGUGUAGCGGUGAAAUGCGUAGAUAUCGUAAGGAAGACCAGUGGCGAAGGCGGGUCUCUGGACAGUUCCUGACGCUGAGGCACGAAGGCCAGGGGAGCAAACGGGAUUAGAUACCCCUGUAGUCC
rnacentral:rRNA from 1 species